rnacentral:rRNA from 1 species
UACGUAGGUCCCGAGCGAUGUCCGGAUUUAUUGGGCGUAAAGCGAGCGCAGGUGGUUUAUUAAGUCUGGUGUAAAAGGCAGUGGCUCAACCAUUGUAUGCAUUGGAAACUGGUAGACUUGAGUGCAGGACAGGAGAGUGGAAUUCCAUGUGUAGCGGUGAAAUGCGUAGAUAUAUGGAGGAACACCGGUGGCGAAAGCGGCUCUCUGGCCUGUAACUGACACUGAGGCUCGAAAGCGUGGGGAGCAAACAGG